ACCUCACCCUCUUGUCUACCAAAGAGAAAUUCCUCCUCAUCAAACUCAACUAAAGGCAAGUCCUCUUGUUCAUCCUCCAAUCCCCCUAACUCAAUUCCUUCGACAAGAUCUUUACCAAAGAAUGCAUAUUGAGAUGCAUCAAACACGGCAUCUUCUGUGGAGUUGUCUCCGAAUAGAUUAGGAUCGCCAGCUUUGGGAGCCUCUUGAGCAACACCCCCACUUUCAAUUCCUUCCAUAUCUACACUUGUUUUUCUUAUCACUAAAAUCUAAAAGCAGCA
rnacentral:misc_RNA from 1 species